rnacentral:misc_RNA from 1 species
AGGUUGAGUAGGGUUAAUCUAUGGACCGUGGAUAGUAGGGUUCCUAGACUCUGGAGAUAUUUCUGGUCUGAGUGGUAUGGACAAAACUAUAUCGGAAGAGAAGAUUUGAGGGUUGCACAAGGUCUGAAUAAUUGGGAUUCUCUGAAGAUUUAGUUGACUGGGUCCAGGAUUUUGAUUCUGCUGAAAACAAACUGGAUCUAGUACUGCUUAUGAGAGAGAGAGAGAGAG